CUCCUCACUUUCAAAUAUAUUUUCACACUGUUUACUGAACACUUUGAGGAUGAAAAAAUCAUUGACUAAAUGAAAGAUCUGAGAUAUCUGCCACGAGAUCCCUCGGAAUACUCUAGCUGGAAAGCUUAUCGCUUUCUCCACUUCUGAACUAAAUAAUCUUUUCUUUACAAUGAAUCGAAGGCGAUAAACAAUGAAUUCCCGCUUGUCGCUCUAUUUACGUUCUGCAUACCGGCGGUCGGAUUUGGGCCCCGCAGGGAACUUAGCCGAAUCACGUUGGGCGACGAACGUAUAAAAGGAGAAAAUG